GCCAGUGUGGUGAAAUUGGUAUACACGACGGAUUCAAAAUCCGUUGCAGCAAUGCGUGGCGGUUCGAGUCCGCCCACUGGUACCA
rnacentral:tRNA from 1 species